rnacentral:rRNA from 1 species
GAUGAACGCUGGCGGCGUGCCUAAUACAUGCAAGUCGAGCGAACGGACGAGAAGCUUGCUUCUCUGAUGUUAGCGGCGGACGGGUGAGUAACACGUGGAUAACCUACCUAUAAGACUGGGAUAACUUCGGGAAACCGGAGCUAAUACCGGAUAAUAUUUUGAACCGCAUGGUUCAAAAGUGAAAGACGGUCUUGCUGUCACUUAUAGAUGGAUCCGCGCUGCAUUAGCUAGUUGGUAAGGUAACGGCUUACCAAGGCAACGAUGCAUAGCCGACCUGAGAGGGUGAUCGGCCACACUGGAACUGAGACACGGUCCAGACUCCUACGGGAGGCAGCAGUAGGGAAUCUUCCGCAAUGGGCGAAAGCCUGACGGAGCAACGCCGCGUGAGUGAUGAAGGUCUUCGGAUCGUAAAACUCUGUUAUUAGGGAAGAACAUAUGUGUAAGUAACUGUGCACAUCUUGACGGUACCUAAUCAGAAAGCCACGGCUAACUACGUGCCAGCAGCCGCGGUAAUACGUAGGUGGCAAGCGUUAUCCGGAAUUAUUGGGCGUAAAGCGCGCGUAGGCGGUUUUUUAAGUCUGAUGUGAAAGCCCACGGCUCAACCGUGGAGGGUCAUUGGAAACUGGAAAACUUGAGUGCAGAAGAGGAAAGUGGAAUUCCAUGUGUAGCGGUGAAAUGCGCAGAGAUAUGGAGGAACACCAGUGGCGAAGGCGACUUUCUGGUCUGUAACUGACGCUGAUGUGCGAAAGCGUGGGGAUCAAACAGGAUUAGAUACCCUGGUAGUCCACGCCGUAAACGAUGAGUGCUAAGUGUUAGGGGGUUUCCGCCUCUUAGUGCUGCAGCUAACGCAUUAAGCACUCCGCCUGGGGAGUACGACCGCAAGGUUGAAACUCAAAGGAAUUGACGGGGACCCGCACAAGCGGUGGAGCGUGUGGUUUAAUUCGAAGCAACGCGAAGAACCUUACCAAAUCUUGACAUCCUUUGACAACUCUAGAGAUAGAGCCUUCCCCUUCGGGGGACAAAGUGACAGGUGGUGCAUGGUUGUCGUCAGCUCGUGUCGUGAGAUGUUGGGUUAAGUCCCGCAACGAGCGCAACCCUUAAGCUUAGUUGCCAUCAUUAAGUUGGGCACUCUAAGUUGACUGCCGGUGACAAACCGGAGGAAGGUGGGGAUGACGUCAAAUCAUCAUGCCCCUUAUGAUUUGGGCUACACACGUGCUACAAUGGACAAUACAAAGGGCAGCGAAACCGCGAGGUCAAGCAAAUCCCAUAAAGUUGUUCUCAGUUCGGAUUGUAGUCUGCAACUCGACUACAUGAAGCUGGAAUCGCUAGUAAUCGUAGAUCAGCAUGCUACGGUGAAUACGUUCCCGGGUCU